rnacentral:rRNA from 1 species
UUGUACGAUCAUACCAACACUAAUGCACCAAAUCUCAUCAGAAAUCCAAAGUUAAACAUGCUUGGUGAGAGCAGUACUAGGAUAGGUGACACCUUGGGUGCUGGCUAACUGAGUAUU